rnacentral:rRNA from 1 species
GAUGAACGCUGGCGGCGUGCCUAAUACAUGCAAGUCGAGCGAACAGACGAGGAGCUUGCUCCUAUGACGUUAGCGGCGGACGGGUGAGUAACACGUGGAUAACCUACCUAUAAGACUGGGAUAACUUCGGGAAACCGGAGCUAAUACCGGAUAAUAUAUUGAACCGCAUGGUUCAAUAGUGAAAGACGGUUUUGCUGUCACUUAUAGAUGGAUCCGCGCCGCAUUAGCUAGUUGGUAAGGUAACGGCUUACCAAGGCAACGAUGCGUAGCCGACCUGAGAGGGUGAUCGGCCACACUGGAACUGAGACACGGUCCAGACUCCUACGGGAGGCAGCAGUAGGGAAUCUUCCGCAAUGGGCGAAAGCCUGACGGAGCAACGCCGCGUGAGUGAUGAAGGUCUUCGGAUCGUAAAACUCUGUUGUUAGGGAAGAACAAAUGUGUAAGUAACUAUGCACGUCUUGACGGUACCUAAUCAGAAAGCCACGGCUAACUACGUG